AGAAUCAACGCUGGCGGCGUGCCUAACACAUGCAAGUCGAACGAGAAAGUGGAGCAAUCCAUGAGUAAAGUGGCGCACGGGUGAGUAACACGUGACUAACCUACCCUUGAGUGGGGGAUAACCUAGGGAAACCUGGGCUAAUACCGCAUAAUACCUAUGGGUCAAAGGUAGCAAUUCGCUUAAGGAGGGGGUCGCGGCCGAUUAGUUAGUUGGGCGGGGUAAUGGCCCACCAAGACGAUGAUCGGUA
rnacentral:rRNA from 1 species